GACCGGGUAGUCUAGUUUGGUAGGAUGUAUGCUUGGGGUGCAUAUGGUCGCGAGUUCGAAUCUCGUCUCGGUCACCA
rnacentral:tRNA from 1 species